AGUCGGAGUUUGAGCCCCGGAGGCAGAGCGGCUGCCAUGGCCAAGUACCUGGCCCAGAUCAUUGUGAUGGGCGUGCAGGUGGUGGGCAGGGCCUUUGCACGGGCCUUGCGGCAGGAGUUUGCAGCCUCUACCCCCUAAAAAGGAAACCACUCCUGGAGAAGAGGCAGCUCCUAGCCACCUGUCCCUGUGUCUCUCAUCCUGUGCUGGUGGCAGGGGUGAGCCACCAACUCGGAAGGCCCAGGGUGAAGUGUGGGCUGCUGAGGACUGAGCGAUCACCCACAUGUCCACACAGCCAGCCGGGCCGCAGCUGAUGCCCGAGGACGCGCUGGACACCGGUCUGCAGCCGCUUCCAACCUCUCCGGCCUCAGCCUCCAGGAGGCACAGCAGAUUCUCAACGUGUCCAAGCUGAGCCCUGAGGAGGUCCAGAAGAACUAUGAACACUUAUUUAAGGUGAAUGAUAAAUCCGUGGGUGGCUCCUUCUACCUGCAGUCAAAGGUGGUCCGCGCAAAGGAGCGCCUGGAUGAGGAACUCAAAAUCCAGGCCCAGGAGGACAGAGAAAAAGGGCAGAUGCCCCAUACGUGACUGCUCGGCUCCCCCCGCCCACCCCGCCGCCUCUAAUUUAUAGCUUGGUAAUAAAUUUCUUUUCUGCA
rnacentral:lncRNA from 1 species